AUUGAACGCUGGCGGCAUGCCUUACACAUGCAAGUCGAACGGCAGCACGGGUGCUUGCACCUGGUGGCGAGUGGCGCACGGGUGUGUAAUACAUCGGAACAUGUCCUGUAGUGGGGGAAAGCCCGGCGAACGCCGGAUUAUUACCGCAUACGAUCUACGGAUGAAAGCGGGGGACCGUCGGGCCUCGCGCUAUAGGGUUGGCGGCUGGCUGAUUAGCUAGUUGGUGGGGUAAAGGCCUACCAAGGCGACGAUCAGUAGCUGGUCUGAGAGGACGACCAGCCACACUGGGACUGAGACACGGCCCAGACUCCUACGGGAGGCAGCAGUGGGGAAUUUUGGACAAUGGGCGAAAGCCUGAUCCAGCAAUGCCGCGUGUGUGAAGAAGGCCUUCGGGUUGUAAAGCACUUUUGUCCGGAAAGAAAUCCUUGGCUCUAAUACAGUCGGGGGAUGACGGUACCGGAAGAAUAAGCACCGGCUAACUACGUG
rnacentral:rRNA from 1 species